rnacentral:rRNA from 1 species
UAGUACAGUGGCGGACGGGUGAGUAACACGUGGUCAACGUGCCUCCGGGACCGGGAUAGCCAUCCGAAAGGGUGGGUAAUACCGGAUAAGACCACGACGUCGCAUGGCGUCGGGGUCAAAGUUUUUCGCCCGGAGAGCGGACCGCGGCCUAUCAGCUUGUUGGUGAGGUAACGGCUCACCAAGGCGACGACGGGUAGCCGACCUGAGAGGGUGGCCGGCCACACUGGGACUGAGACACGGCCCAGACUCCUACGGGAGGCAGCAGUGCUGAAUCAUUCACAAUGGGCGAAAGCCUGAUGAUGCGACGCCGCGUGCGGGAUGAAGGCCUUCUGGGUUGUAAACCGCUGUCAGGACUUAGGAAGAUCUGACCAAGUCCAAAGGAAGCACCGGCUAAAUUCGUGCCAGCAGCCGCGGUAAUACGAAUGGUGCAAGCGUUGUUCGGAAUCACUGGGCAUAAAGGGUGCGUAGGCGGCCGGAUAAGUCGGUUGUGAAAUCCCUCGGCUCAACCGGGGAAUCGCUGCCGAUACUGUCUGGCUUGAGGCUGUGAGGGGUGAGCGGAAUUCCAGGUGUAGCGGUGAACUGCGUAGAUAUCUGGGAGAACGCCGGCGGCGAAGGCGGCUCACUGG